CACUUGUACCUGGUGUGAUUAUAAAGCAAUGAGACUGAUUGUCAUUUGUCUUUUGUGGGAUCCGUCUCAGUUACUUUAUAGCCAGACCUGGUAUCUUA
rnacentral:pre_miRNA from 13 species